rnacentral:pre_miRNA from 1 species
AUGUAGGGCAAUCUGUUUUUAAGUAGGGGUAAAUUACUCUUAAAGAAAAAAAGGAAUCCUAGAUAGUUUUUCCUUCAAGUCAAGCAUCUUGU